UGUAAGCGUAUACCAAAGUUGUUGCAGUUAAAACGCUCGUAGUCGGAAUUUGGCAGUUCCGGAUGUGUGCACGUCGUGUGCGCGCUUUGCGGGAAUUGCUUUUGUGUGUUCGCGUCGGAUGAGGCACGUUUAUUCGUGAACGUCCGCACGCUGCCACUUUUUACUGUGAGAAAAUCAGAGUGCUCAAAGCAGGCAUUUGCCGUGAAUGUAUUAGCAUGGAAUAAUAGAAUAGGACGUUAUGGUUCUAUUUUGUUGGUUUCUAGGACCAUCGUAAUGAUUAAUAGGGACGGUCGGGGGUAUCAGUAUUCAGUUGUCAGAGGUGAAAUUCUUGGAUUUACUGAAGACUAACUACUGCGAAAGCAUUUACCAAGGACGUUUUCAUUAA
rnacentral:rRNA from 1 species